AGAGAUGCUGCAGCCAGUCUCAGAGGAAGGAUCUCAGUCUCCUGGACAUAUCUGUUGCUUUCUUUCACUUGGUGAUAGACAAGCCACGAUCUCAUUUCAAAGCCUUCAGUUAGGCUAUGGGAUGCUACCUUCAAAAUCAAGCUUCUCUUAGAUCUAUAUAGAGGUGGAACACAACAUGAAGAUUGGAUAUCUAAUAUUGGCCUGAGGUUUUCUUUGUUCUGGGAAGUAAUCACUGGAGCGACUCUCUUGGUAUGACAUGCAUGGCUGCAGAGUUCCUCCCAGGAGACUGGACAGUCAAUGGAGUCCCUCAUGCCACAAUGGAUUCACUCAUCUCUUUUAGCACUCAGGAAUUCUACAAAUUUGAUCUUUAAGAAAAUGAUGAAGAUGAGUAUGAAUAGCUUGAAGACAGCAUAAUACCUUAAGCCAAGGCCCAAGCCUUGCACAGUGCCCAACACUAAGUAAACACAUGUGUUUAUCAACUAUAAGGAACUAUGGAAACAUUGUCAGGGAUACAAAGAGCACGAAAACAACUUUGGGAUCCUGACCAGAAUGAAGAGAAGAGAAGAGAAGAGGUCUCAGAUUGCAUGCUUGGUAGUAAGGGGAGAAUCCUAAUGAUGAGCAGCAUGUGAUCAAGCGAUUCCUUUUCCUUCAAGCUGAGGUUGAAGUUCAGUAGCGAAGGAAGAAGGAACAGGCAGCUACAGCCCUCUGGUCAGCAGCACCAACUUUCUCACGGAGUUAAAUUAGUUUGGGUUAUGGAGAGCCUGAAUCUUUAGCCCAGGAGAGGUGAAAGUGAAUGAGGGAGAGGAAGGCGGUGAGAGACAAAUGGCAAAGGUAAAAGUGGGCUGGGUGCAGUGGCUCACAACUGUAAUCCCAGCACUUUGGGAGGCUGAGGCAGGAGGAUCAAGCGCUUGAGCCUAGGAGUUUGAGACCAGCUUGGGCAAUAUGGUGAGACCUCUUCUCAACAAAAUAUUUAAAAAUUAACUGGGCAUGGAGGUGCAUGCCUGUAGUUCUAGCUACUUGGGAGGCUGAGAUGGAAAAAUCACUUAAGCCUGGGAGGUGGAGACUACAAUGAACUGUGAUGGUGCCACUGGACUCCAGCCUGAGCAAUAGAGGGAGACCCUGUCUCAAAAAUAUACAUAUUUUUUUAUUUUUAAAAAAGGUAAAAGUGUAUCAAAGCAGUCUGCCUUCACUCUGAUACUGAGAUUAUCAACCAGUGCUCUGCAGACCUUCCAUGAAAACUACUGUUAAAGAUGCAGAUUGUUAGGCCUCAUCUCAAACCUACUGAAUCAUGGUCUCUAGGGGGACAGCCUGGGACUGUGCAUCUUUCAUGGGUACACCCAGCAAUUCUGAUACACUCGAAAGCAAGUUUGUCUAACCUGUGACCCGCAGGCUGCAUAUAGCCAAGGACAGCUUUGAAUGCAGCCCAACGCAAAUUUGUGAACUUUCUUAAAACAUUAUGAGUUUUUUUGUGGUAUUUCUUUAAGCUCAUCAGCUAUCGUUAGUGUUAGUAUAUUUCAUGUGUGGCCCUUCUUCCAAUGUGGCCCAGGGAAGCCAAAAGAUUGGACACUUGGGCUCUAAAGAUUGAGGAUCACUGCUCUAGUGUUGGCCAACUACUCUAGUGUUGGCCUGCAGACUCAAUACAGCCUUUGAGCUAAAAACGGUUUUUACAUUUUUAAAGGGUUGUAAAAAAAGACAAAAAGAAAGACAGACAAGGAAAGACACAGAAGAAUAUACAACAUAGCCUACAAAGCAUUUACUAUCUGGUCUUUUACAAAAGAGUUUUCUGACCCCUUUCUAGUGCACUGCAAAUGAAAGGCUGUACCCAAAUUUAGCUCCAGUGCAGCCCUGCCACAGCUGAAAUAACUGAUGUAGCAAGCAGAUCUUAAAAAAAAAAGUGAUGAAAUGUGUAAAGUUGUCAUCUAAAAAUACUUUUGUAAUAAUUAUAAAUGGAGAGAGAAAAUGUAUAAAUACAAACAUUCUGUAAUGAGUUUAAAAAUAUAGUUUCAUCCAUACAAGAAUUUUGAUAACUCCAUUUGAUUCUGUUUUUCCAUAAGCUUAUCAGAUAGCAAUAUAUCCAACAUUAGCCUAAUAAAAUUACUGCAUGUGAAUUCUUUAUUGGACUAUGCAUAUUCCCAAACAUAUUAUUGUCAUACAACUGAGGGAAAAAUGUAAAACUAUAUCUGGGAAAUGAAAAAUUAUAAAUUCUCAAAAUGAUACAUAGGAAAAUGAUUUACAAAGAAAAAAAGGAAAACUGAACUUAGUAUCUUUCUACUUUAAAGGGGUUCAAGAACUUAGGAGUAGUUACACACCUCCUAAAAUCUUGAAAAAGAGGCUAUGAACUCACUUCACAAAGGGUUCAGAUACUCACAUUGUGUCCAAGAGACUCAGCAAUUGGGAAUCUUGCCAGUUAGAUUCAUAAAGCAAUCCGAAAGCCAGAAUGCAAUUUCUUUAGGGGUGGUUUCUAGAUGUUUAUUCUAGAUAUUUUUAAAAGAUUUUGUUUAUUUUUGAUGUGAAGAAAGAAAAUUAUUAUAGAAUCUAGAAAUAAAUAUUGGCUUUAAAAGUAUUAAUUUGCCUUGUCCUUUGUAAUUGUGAUCCGAAAUAUCUCACAAUAAUUUUGUUUCAGUGUUAUUUUCUUCUCAGGAGGAAAG
rnacentral:lncRNA from 1 species